UACGUAGGGUGCAAGCGUUGUCCGGAAUUAUUGGGCGCAAAGAGCUUGUAGGCGGUUUGUCGCGUCUGCUGUGAAAUUUCGGGGCUCAACCCCGAACUUGCAGUGGGUACGGGCAGACUAGAGUGUGGUAGGGGAGACUGGAAUUCCUGGUGUAGCGGUGAAAUGCGCAGAUAUCAGGAGGAACACCGAUGGCGAAGGCAGGUCUCUGGGCCAUAACUGACGCUGAGAAGCGAAAGCAUGGGGAGCGAACAGG
rnacentral:rRNA from 1 species